AUGAACGCUGGCGGCGUGCCUAAUACAUGCAAGUCGAGCGAAUAGAUUAAGAGCUUGCUCUUAUGAAGUUAGCGGCGGACGGGUGAGUAACACGUGGGUAACCUGCCCAUAAGACUGGGAUAACUCCGGGAAACCGGGGCUAAUACCGGAUAACAUUUUGAACCGCAUGGUUCGAAAUUGAAAGGCGGCUUUGGCUGUCACUUAUGGAUGGACCCGCGUCGCAUUAGCUAGUUGGUGAGGUAACGGCUCACCAAGGCAACGAUGCGUAGCCGACCUGAGAGGGUGAUCGGCCACACUGGGACUGAGACACGGCCCAGACUCCUACGGGAGGCAGCAGUAGGGAAUCUUCCGCAAUGGACGAAAGUCUGACGGAGCAACGCCGCAUGAGUGAUGAAGGCUUUCGGGUCGUAAAACUCUGUUGUUAGGGAAGAACAAGUGCUAGUUGAAUAAGCUGGCACCUUGACGGUACCUAACCAGAAAGCCACGGCUAACUACGUG
rnacentral:rRNA from 1 species